rnacentral:rRNA from 1 species
GAUGAACGCUGGCGGCGUGCCUAAUACAUGCAAGUCGAGCGAACAGACGAGGAGCUUGCUCCUCUGACGUUAGCGGCGGACGGGUGAGUAACACGUGGAUAACCUACCUAUAAGACUGGGAUAACUUCGGGAAACCGGAGCUAAUACCGGAUAAUAUAUUGAACCGCAUGGUUCAAUAGUGAAAGACGGUUUUGCUGUCACUUAUAGAUGGAUCCGCGCCGCAUUAGCUAGUUGGUAAGGUAACGGCUUACCAAGGCGACGAUGCGUAGCCGACCUGAGAGGGUGAUCGGCCACACUGGAACUGAGACACGGUCCAGACUCCUACGGGAGGCGGCAGUAGGGAAUCUUCCGCAAUGGGCGAAAGCCUGACGGAGCAACGCCGCGUGAGUGAUGAAGGUCUUCGGAUCGUAAAACUCUGUUAUUAGGGAAGAACGAAUGUGUAAGUAACUAUGCACGUCUUGACGGUACCUAAUCAGAAAGCCACGGCUAACUACGUG